ACAGAACCACCCACCACAAAAGGACCAAGCAGCGUGGUAAUGGGCAUCAGCACCGAUGUCAGGAUUUCUGGACAUGGGAGCAAAAUCUGGACUGUGUCACUACUUGGGAGGAGAUAGACAGGUGGGUGGUCGACCCAGGGAGAGUGUCGCAGCCCGCCUGGGAUUUUCUGGAGCAGUGGGAGGAGGGAUACCGGCGAAUGGAAUCAGCACGGCGGCACGUGACUCCCCCAAGCUGGUGCGCUACAUCCAUGACCGGGGACUGAAGCUGGUUGUCUACUGGGACAUGGGCACACGCACACACGUGUGGGGUUGACCCUGGUACCCCCUUGGACAAGAUCACUAUAGAUGCUCAGACUUUUGAUGACUGGAAAGUGGACAUGCUGAAGUUUGAUGGCUGUUACCCCAACGCUACAGAGCAGGAGCAGGGCUCUGAAAUCUACCAGGCACCUCAUUGGUUACUGCUGCAGUUGGCCCGCCUACCAGGGUGGACUCCUUCCCUAGGCGAACUACAACCAGCUAGAAGAGAUCUACAACCUGUGGCGUAACUAUGGCAACAUAAAGGACUCAUGGGCUUAUUGUGCUGAGCAUCACUGAUUGGUUCUUCAACAAGCAAGAUGUCCCUACAGCCUAUUUUCUC